rnacentral:rRNA from 1 species
UAGGGUAUGAUCAUGGCUCAGAGUGAACGCUGGCGGCGUGCUUAACACAUGCAAGUCGAACGAGUAAGUGCUGUAGUAAUACAGAUUACUGCUAUUGGCAGACGGGUGAGUAAUACAUGGGAAUCUGCCUUAGAGCCUGGGAUAACUGUUGGAGACGACAGCUAAUACCGGAUAACACCGAGAGGUCAAAGAUUUAUCGCUUUAAGAUGAGCCCAUGUAAGAUUAGCUAGUUGGUAGGGUAAAGGCCUACCAAGGCGAAGAUCUUGAGCUGGUUUGAGAGGAUGAUCAGCCACACUGGAACUGAGACACGGUCCAGACUCCUACAGGAGGCAGCAGUGGGGAAUAUUGGACAAUGGGCGAAAGCCUGAUCCAGCAACGCCGCGUUAGUGAUGAAGGCCUUCGGGUUGUAAAACUCUUUCAGUAGGGAAGAUAAUGACGGUACCUACAGAAGAGGCUCCGGCUAACUUCGUGCCAGCAGCCGCGGUAAUACGAAGUGAGCUAGCGUUACUCGGAAUUAUUGGGCGUAAAGCGUGCGUAGGCGGUUUUAACAGUCGGAAGUGAAAGCCUGAGGCUCAUCCUCAGAAUUGCUUUCGAUACUAUAAAACUUGAGUAUUAGAGGGGAUAGCGAAAUUCUUAGUGUAGAGGUGAAAUUCGUAGAUAUUAAGAGGAACACCGGUGGCGAAGCCGGCUAUCUGGCUAAAUACUGACGCUGUUGCACGAAAGCGUGGGGAGCAAACAGGAUUAAAUACCCUGGUAGUCCACGCCCUAAACGAUGAGUGCUAGAUAUCGGGACUGAUGUUCUCGGUGUCG